AUGAAAAUGUAAACAACAAAGAUCGGGCCCCGGUUCCGGACCCAGCGUACCCGCCCUACCAUGAGACGAUCACCUCCACUCGUCUCCCUCAUUUUGGCCACUAAAUGGCCUAUAUUAGCCCGUGUCGGCCAUAAUGCCCACUCUCCCCAACAAUAUUAUUUUAGCCGGACAUGAUUUCUUUCAAUAGCUGUUUAGGAUCUCAUGCAAGCGGAUAAUUCAUUAACUUCACAGAAUUAAUUUUUUUAUUUUUUUACAACACUGAAUGGAACAGGCGACGAAAUACUACAAGGAUAUUGCUAGUCGCCGCAAAAGAAACGCGCAAGGAGGCACUUUAGAGGCAAUCGUUGCGCCGAUUUAGGAACAAUGGCCCACACAAUUACUUAAAACUGGAGCUCUCUGGGGGUGGUAAGGGGCGAUAUAAAUGCG